GUGGGUAGUUUGACUGGGGCGGUCUCCUCCCAAAGAGUAACGGAGGAGCACGAAGGUUAGCUAAUCCUGGUCGGACAUCAGGAGGUUAGUGCAAUGGCAUAAGCUAGCUUGACUGCGAGAGUGACGGCUCGAGCAGGUGCGAAAGCAGGUCAUAGUGAUCCGGUGGUUCUGAAUGGAAGGGCCAUCGCUCAACGGAUAAAAGGUACUCCGGGGAUAACAGGCUGAUACCGCCCAAGAGUUCAUAUCGACGGCGGUGUUUGGCACCUCGAUGUCGGCUCAUCACAUCCUGGGGCUGAAGUAGGUCCCAAGGGUAUGGCUGUUCGCCAUUUAAAGUGGUACGCGAGCUGGGUUUAGAACGUCGUGAGACAGUUCGGUCCCUAUCUGCCGUGGGCGCUGGAGAAUUGAGGGGGGCUGCUCCUAGUACGAGAGGACCGGAGUGGACGCAUCACUGGUGUUCGGGUUGUCAUGCCAAUGGCACUGCCCGGUAGCUAAAUGCGGAAGAGAUAAGUGCUGAAAGCAUCUAAGCACGAAACUUGCCCCGAGAUGAGUUCUCCCUGAGACUUAAAGUCUCC
rnacentral:rRNA from 1 species